rnacentral:rRNA from 1 species
GACGAACGCUGGCGGCGUGCUUAACACAUGCAAGUCGAACGAAGUGGCGAACGGGUGAGUAACGCGUAAUCAACCUGCCCUUCAGAGGGGGAUAACAGUGGGAAACGACUGCUAAUACCGCAUAUUGAAGGAGGGGAUUGCGUGUGAUUAGCUAGUUGGAGGGGUAACGGCCCACCAAGGCGAUGAUCAGUAGCCGGGUUGAGGGGCUGACCGGCCAGAGUUGGGCGGAGACACGGCCCCGACUCCGACGGGAGGCAGGAGUGGGGAAACUGCCGCAAUGGACGGAAGGCUGGCGGAGGAACGCCGCGGGAGUGGUGAAGGGCUUCGGGUUGGAAAGCUCUGUUAAUCGGGGCGCGGUACCGGAAUAGAAAGCCACGGCUAACUACGUGCCAGCAGCCGCGGUAAUUC